GCCUGGCUGGCUCAGUCGAUAGAGCAUGCAACUUUUGAUUUUAGAGUUGUGAGUUCAAGCCCUAUGCUGGGUG
rfam:Mustela putorius furo unplaced genomic scaffold scaffold00057, whole genome shotgun sequence.